rnacentral:lncRNA from 1 species
UCUGUAUUACUGCGCAAUAUGAAAGUACUUUGUCAUUAAUUUUUAAGCUCUCCUUUUUUUUCAUAAUUGUCUGGAGAGCGUUGGAAUAUUCAUUAUAACCCAUUUGUAAUUUUGAAGGUUAUCUUGAGAUGACUUAUUUUCCUGCAAAUAGUGAAAUUAAACGAAGCAAUGGAUUCAAAAAAACAACUUUAGACUGUGUGAAAUAUUAAGAAUUUAUCUACAUUAAAUAUAAAUGACAUGAAUUUGAUUUCACCUAUUUCAGUAAUGGAAAUCCAGCAUUUCUAUGGGGAUCCCCAAAACACUUAUAUACUUCCGUGUACGCCUCCUGCAAGUUUUUUCUCUCCGUAAAUCGCCAUUUUGUAGCAUACCUUUUUUAUUUGCUCUAUGUUUGGAGAAGGUUAUUAACUUACUGAAGCUCCAAAACACUAUGAAAUCAAACCGUCAUAUAUUUGGAAAGUUGUCCACCAAUAAUUAUUUUUUUAUAAAUAAUAUGUUUUUAAUAACCGGUAGCAUACACAGCUUGAUGUUUGGGGCUAGCAAACCGUGGAAGAUUUAUUAUUGCAAUAUUAAAUUCUUUUGUCUUAAACUAUAACUCACAGUUAGAGUCUUUGAGUACAUAAUUCUAGUCUAUUUGAUAGCUUUAUCUUCGAGUUAGUCAGAUUUAGUUAAUCGUUUGUGGGCCUCAGACGAAGCCAGUUCUUUUAAGUUUGGAUGCAAGGAUCCUUCAUUAUUCAGAUAUCUCUUAGCAUCAAAGUAUCUGAUUAUGACUUUGGACCUCGUGAAUCAUCCCUUUAUGCUCAAGAAUACUCCAUAUCUUCUAUAUAAUCAUCCUAUACUUUUAGCACAUCUCUACGAACUCAGGAAUUUCAUAAAGAGACAGAAUAAUCCAAUCAAACGCCCAAUGAAGAAGGAAGUUUUCAUCCUCCAUCCACAGCUCCUUUAUUGCAAUUCUUGGGUCCAUCCAACACUCAUAUCAAUUUCAUUUAUAUAUGAUUGAAUUUGUACUAUAAUGUCUUAAGUCAACAGUUAAACAUUCUGAAUACUCCAAGCCUGACUCCUGAUUUCAUCUUACAUGAAAUGUCUCUUAAAGAGAAAACAAGGGGAAGGAUAUCUUAAACUCCAUUUUCUCUAAAUAUCUGUUAUUAAAUUAUAUUCUGUUUUACCAUGGUGUGCAUAAAGUUAUUGAGAAACUAUAAAGUGAUAAAAAAAAAAUUACUUUUUAACUUAUGUAGAAUUCUACAGGAAUGUCUAAAUUUCAUUACAAUUCUAAAAAAUUUUAAGUGGAGAAUCUUCAUCUAUUUAACUAAAUUGCUUGUCAACAUAUUGUAAUAUUACACUAAUGAAGAUGUAGGAUCUCCACACAAAUUAAUAAAUAACAGAUAAUAAAUGUUUUCCACAAGAGUUCAUUAA